CAGCACGAACGGUCCGCGGGGACUAGCGCAUGCGCAUAGUGCAUCGGGAACGCACUGGCGCAAUCCAUCGCCUGUCACGUGGCCCCGCCCUCUUGCUUCCGGUUUGGAAUUCAGAAUUAGCCUUGAGGGUUGGAGAUUGGGCCAGGGGAGGGAGCGAGAGUUGGGCGGGGACGGGAAGGGUUAAAGGCGUGGAAUCAGAAGUGGUGAAUGCUCACCGGGAGCCAUGAAUUUAUUAAGAGUUGGAUAUUGAGGGAGCACGAAGGAAACGAAGCACGAAGCACGAAGGAGAGUGCAAGAUACAAAGAAGCAUACAGAAGAAAAAUGAAAUGGACCCAAAAGAAGACAGCCUCUUUAGUAUAGAGACGAGGAGCAGAAGACUUCUCUCUUCUGUCCUCAUUGAAAAGACAGCCAGCUUUUGUAACCUUGCCUUGGGGAUGUUAGCAGGAGAAAUGUUGGCAAUUCAAGGCUCUUCUGGUUUUAUAAGAAAACCAGGUUUUGCUGGGAGGCCUGGAGUAGAAGAGAGGGCCUCAGAGAAGCAAAAAUGGGAGGAGAGACAUGCCUAGAGAGCAGGAAGAGGGAAGAAAAAAUUUCUCAAGUACUGUUCAACUUCUAAUGCUAACUUAGAAGUAGUAGAAGGUA